CAUACAUACCGAAUAUUUUUGUAUGUCUUCUUUCGUUUUGAAACGUUAAGUUUUUUGCAAAGAAUAAAUGGAUCGUCUAUUGAUACUUUAUAGUGAACAACGGACUUAUCCAACUGCGGCUGAAGUUUGCAGAAAUGUUUUGCUGGAUAUGUUGAAAAACGGAAAGGAAAACGUUGUUCGAUGGAGGAAUCCAGAUUUGUUAGAAUUUGAAAUUAUCAAUGAACCCGAACUUAGAAUUAUGUUUUAUGUGAGGACUGGAAAGAAUUUCAGGAAUGUUAUAAACGAAGGAUCAAAGUUUUUUAGAAAGGUAUUUGGUCAUGAAAACGUCUACCGUUUUCACUUCUUGCCUAGAUAUCUUCUCCCAUUUAUCCCGAAGAAAACAUUUUCGCAAAUCGUUCGAUUCUCUACUGAAACAGCUGUUUGA
rnacentral:misc_RNA from 1 species